AUUUAUAAUAAGUGUAGGGAUGCAUCUCUAAGGGAUGCAUCCCAUCCACACAUCCUCUCAUGAAAGGGCAUCAUCUAAAGGGCCAUAUCAAAUAAGAGGAGGCGUAGAUCAAGUGAGGAGGUGUAUCAAAUGAUAUGUCCUUUCAUGUGGUGCCAUAUUUUGACCAAGUCAACAUCACAUGCUAAUCACAUGUCCAUCACGCCUCACCUCUUGAUCUUUCAUGAUGAUGAUCCAAGGGCUCUAAUGCAAGGUGCCAUUCACUUGACCCAUUAUGUCUUCAUCCAAUGGUGGGAUUAAGAUCCAAUGGUCAAUUAUGGUAGCCAUCCUCUAACCCAAUCCAAUUGGGUUAAACCAACUCUCCAUUAUGUCUUCAUCCAACGGUAGAUCAAGAUCUAACAGUCUAGAUUGAAUGAUUUAUUAAAUCUAAUCCAAUUAGACUCAAACCAAGCCAAUUAGGUGCCAACUCUUGGCUAACCCAUAUUAGAACAUGAUCUAAUCAAAUUAGAUCAAUUAAGAAUCGGAUUCGAAUCUAAUUCGAAUCAAGAGCUAAGGGUUUACAACACCUGCUAGGAUGUCUAUCUUGCAAACAUGAUCUAAUCCAAUUAGAUCCUUAAU
rnacentral:lncRNA from 1 species